UCUUGAGAGCGGCGGACGGGUGAGUAAUGCCUAGGAAUCUGCCUGGUAGUGGGGGAUAACGUUCGGAAACGGACGCUAAUACCGCAUACGUCCUACGGGAGAAAGCAGGGGACCUUCGGGCCUUGCGCUAUCAGAUGAGCCUAGGUCGGAUUAGCUAGUUGGUGGGGUAAUGGCUCACCAAGGCGACGAUCCGUAACUGGUCUGAGAGGAUGAUCAGUCACACUGGAACUGAGACACGGUCCAGACUCCUACGGGAGGCAGCAGUGGGGAAUAUUGGACAAUGGGCGAAAGCCUGAUCCAGCCAUGCCGCGUGUGUGAAGAAGGUCUUCGGAUUGUAAAGCACUUUAAGUUGGGAGGAAGGGUUGUAGAUUAAUACUCUGUUAUUUUGACGUUACCGACAGAAUAAGCACCGGCUAACUCUGUGCCAGCAGCCGCGGUAAUACAGAGGGUGCAAGCGUUAAUCGGAAUUACUGGGCGUAAAGCGCGCGUAGGUGGUUUGUUAAGUUGGAUGUGAAAUCCCUGGGCUCAACCUGGGAACUGCAUUCAAAACUGACUGACUAGAGUAUGGUAGAGGGUGGUGGAAUUUCNCUGUGUAGCGGUGAAAUGCGUAGAUAUAGGAAGGAACACCAGUGGCGAAGGCGACCACCUGGACUAAUACUGACACUGAGGUGCGAAAGCGUGGGGAGCAAACAGGAUUAGAUACCCUGGUAGUCCACGCCGUAAACGAUGUCAACUAG
rnacentral:rRNA from 2 species